rnacentral:rRNA from 1 species
AUUGAACGCUGGCGGCAUGCCUUACACAUGCAAGUCGAACGGCAGCACGGGUGCUUGCACCUGGUGGCGAGUGGCGAACGGGUGAGUAAUACAUCGGAACAUGUCCUGUAGUGGGGGAUAGCCCGGCGAAAGCCGGAUUAAUACCGCAUACGAUCCACGGAUGAAAGCGGGGGCCCUUCGGGCCUCGCGCUAUAGGGUUGGUCGAUGGCUGAUUAGCUAGUUGGUGGGGUAAAGGCCUACCAAGGCGACGAUCAGUAGCUGGUCUGAGAGGACGACCAGCCACACUGGAACUGAGACACGGCCCAGACUCCUACGGGAGGCAGCAGUGGGGAAUUUUGGACAAUGGGCGAAAGCCUGAUCCAGCAAUGCCGCGUGUGUGAAGAAGGCCUUCGGGUUGUAAAGCACUUUUGUCCGGAAAGAAAUCCUUGACUCUAAUACAGUCGGGGGAUGACGGUACCGGAAGAAUAAGCACCGGCUAACUACGUG